rnacentral:rRNA from 1 species
CCUACGAGUGGCUGCAGUGAGGAAUAUUGGUCAAUGGGCGGAAGCCUGAACCAGCCAAGUAGCGUGCAGGAUGACGGCCCUACGGGUUGUAAACUGCUUUUAUACGGGAAUAACGCGCCUUACGUGUAGGGCUUUGCAUGUACCGUAUGAAUAAGGACCGGCUAAUUCCGUGCCAGCAGUCGCGGUAAUACGGAAGGUCCGGGCGUUAUCCGGAUUUAUUGGGUUUAAAGGGAGCGUAGGCCGCAUGUCAAGCGUGCUGUGAAAUGUCCGGGCUCAACCCGGGCCUUGCAGCGCGAACUGGCGUGCUUGAGUCCGCGGAAAGCAGGCGGAAUUCGUCGUGUAGCGGUGAAAUGCUUAGAUAUGACGAAGAACCCCGAUUGCGAAGGCAGCUUGCUGCAGCGGAACUGACGCUGAUGCUCGAAAGCGCGGGUAUCGAACAGGAUUAGAUACCCCGGUAGUC